GACGAACGCUGGCGGCGUGCUUAACACAUGCAAGUCGAGCGGAGUGGCGAACGGGUAAGUAACGGGUGAGUAACUGCCCCCCUCUCUGGGAUAACAGUUGGAAACGGCUGCCAAUACCGGAUAGUGGGGGAUGACUCUCGUCCUAUCAGCUUGUUGGUGGGGUAGUGGCCUACCAAGCUGACGACGGGUAGCCGGCCUGGUAGGGCGACCGGCCACAAUGGGCGGAGGUACGGCGCAAACUCCUACGGGAGGCAGCAGUGGGGAACAUUGCACAAUGGGGGAAACCCUGAUGCAGCAACGCGCGUGCGGGAUGACGGGCUUCGGGUUGUAAACCGCUUUCAGCCAUGACGCGGUAGUGGCAGAAGAAGCACCGGCUAACUACGUGCCAGCAGCCGCGGUAAUAC
rnacentral:rRNA from 1 species